rnacentral:misc_RNA from 1 species
AUGGGCCGGGGCCUCGCCGAGCAGGCGGGAGGGUAUGUCGGAC